UGCCGGUUCUCCCGCAAUGAUAAGCAGUUAACCCCGCCAGAUCCGGAAGGAAGCAACGGUAGCUGUAAGUCGUGUGCCGGGGUCGGGCUGGCAGGG
rnacentral:SRP_RNA from 1 species